rnacentral:rRNA from 1 species
GAUGAACGCUGGCGGCGUGCCUAAUACAUGCAAGUCGAGCGAACAGACGAGGAGCUUGCUCCUCUGACGUUAGCGGCGGACGGGUGAGUAACACGUGGAUAACCUACCUAUAAGACUGGGAUAACUUCGGGAAACCGGAGCUAAUACCGGAUAAUAUAUUGAACCGCAUGGUUCAAUAGUGAAAGACGGUUUUGCUGUCACUUAUAGAUGGAUCCGCGCCGCAUUAGCUAGUUGGUAAGGUAACGGCUUACCAAGGCAACGAUGCGUAGCCGACCUGAUAGGGUGAUCGGCCACACUGGAACUGAGACACGGUCCAGACUCCUACGGGAGGCAGCAGUAGGGAAUCUUCCGCAAUGGGCGAAAGCCUGACGGAGCAACGCCGCGUGAGUGAUGAAGGUCUUCGGAUCGUAAAACUCUGUUAUUAGGGAAGAACAAAUGUGUAAGUACCUAUGCACGUCUUGACGGUACCUAAUCAGAAAGCCACGGCUAACUACGUG